UUCAUUCAUAGACAGUAUACAUUGUUCAGCCAACAUUCAGCUUUUGGAAGCCAGAUUGAGAGUGUGGUGUGCAAGCUUAGUUGAGCUAAGAAGCCUAAAGCGCUCCAGAGGAAUCCCCUUGAACAUUAGGACUGUACUCAAUCUUGCUGUCUAAAGAAAGUUA
rnacentral:other from 1 species